GACGAAGGAUGCAAGCGUUAUCCGGAUUCAUUGGGUUUAAAGGGAGCGUAGGUGGUCUUCUAAGUCAGUGGUGAAAUCUCUCGGCUUAACUGAGAAAUUGCCAUUGAUACUGGAGGACUUGAGUGUAGUUGCCGUUGGCGGAAUAUGACAUGUAGUGGUGAAAUACAUAGAGAUGUCAUAGAACACCGAUUGCGAAGGCAGCUAACGAAACUAUAACUGACACUGAGGCUCGAAAGUGCGGGGAUCAAACAGGAUUAGAAACCCCCGUAGUCC
rnacentral:rRNA from 1 species